rnacentral:rRNA from 1 species
UACGAGGGGUCCUAGCGUUGUUCGGAAUCAUUGGGCGUAAAGCGUCUGUAGGCGGCUUUGUAAGUCAGGUGUGAAAGCCCCGGGCUCAACCCGGGAAGUGCAUUUGAUACUGCAUAGCUUGAAUGUUGGAGAGGAUAGUAGAAUUCCAGGUGUAGUGGUGAAAUACGUAGAUAUCUGGAGGAAUACCGGUGGCGAAGGCGGCUCACUGGCCCGGUACUGACGCUGAGGCACGAAAGCGUGGGGAGCAAACAGG